GUUAAAAAGCUCGUAGUUGGAUUUCUGUCGAGGGCGGGCGGUCCGCACUAUGUGCGUGUAUCUUGUUCGGUCUUGGCAUCCUCUUGGGGAAUGCUUCUGUGCUUGAUUGCAUGGGGUGGAAUUCAGGACUUUCACUUUGAGGAAAUUAGAGUGUUCACGGCAAGCUACCGCUUUGAAUACAUUAGCAUGGAAUAAUAAUAUAGGGCGUAAGUUCUAUUUUGUUGGUUUCUAGGACAUACGCAAUGAUUAAUAGGGACAAUUGGGGGCAUUCGUAUUAACGCGUCAGAGGUGGAAUUCUUAGAUUGCGUUACGACGAACUACUGCGAAAGCAUUUGCCAAAGAUGUUUUCAUUGAUCAAGAACGAAAGUAUGGGGAUCGAAGACGAUUAGAUACCGUCGUAGUCUAUACCAUAAACUAUGCCAAUUAGAGAUUGGGCGUCGUUCGUUUUAUGACUCGCUCAGCACCUUAUGAGAAAUCAAAAUUUUUGGGUUCCGGGGGGGGUAUGGUCGCAAGGCUGAAACUUAAAGGAAUUGACGGAAGGGCACCACCAGGAGUGGAGCCUGCGGCUUAAUUUGACUCAACACGGGAAAAACUUACCA
rnacentral:rRNA from 1 species